AUGGAGGCGCUUUCUAAGAUCCGUGCUGAGGAGACUCGCCUCCGUGGCGUUGGUUUACUUGAGGUUCCCUCUGUGCUCGCUACUCGAGUUCCUGCUAUGCCUGCUGCACCGACUCCUUCCCACUCGAGUGCUCCGCCGCUCUUGCCUACUCCUACGGGCGGCCUGGGUCGGUCUCGUCCUCAUUGCGGCUACUGCAAGAUGGAUGGUCAUGUUGAGUCUCGGUGCUUCCAGAAGAAGAAACACCUGCGUAAGGCGCGAUCAUCAGCUUCAGGGACUUCUUCUACUUCGACAUCUUCAGCCACCGCCUUGACUGAGCAGGAUAUUUUGUGA
rnacentral:rRNA from 1 species